CCUACGGGGGGCAGCAGUGGGGGAUAUUGCACAAUGGGGGAAACCCUGAUGCAGCGACGCCGCGUGUGGGAAGACGGUCUUCUGGAUUGUAAACCACUGUCCCCAGGGACGAAAAUGACGGUACCUGGGGAGGAAGCUCCGGCUAACUACGUGCCAGCAGCCGCGGUAAUACGUAGGGAGCAAGCGUUGUCCGGAAUUACUGGGUAUAAAGGGAGCGUAGGCGGGGAUGCAAGUUGGGUGUCAAAACUACCGGCUCAACCGAUAGUCGCACUCAAAACUGCAACUCUUGAGUGAAGUAGAGGCAGGCGGAAUGCCUAGUGUAGCGGUGAAAUGCGUAGAUAUUAGGAGGAACACCAGUGGCGAAGGCGGCCUGCUGGGCUUUUACUGACGCUGAGGCUCGAAAGUGUGGGGAGCAAACAGGAUUAGAUACCCGAGUAGUC
rnacentral:rRNA from 1 species